UACGGGGGGAGCAAGCGUUGUUCGGAUUUACUGGGCGUAAAGGGCGCGUAGGCGGUCGUGACAAGUCACUUGUGAAAUCUCCGGGCUUAACUCGGAACGGUCAAGUGAUACUGUCGGACUAGAGUACAGAAGGGGCAACUGGAAUUCCUGGUGUAGCGGUGAAAUGCGCAGAUAUCAGGAGGAACACCGGUGGCGAAGGCGGCACUCUGGGCCGGUACUGACACUGAGGAGCGAAAGCGUGGGGAGCGAACAGG
rnacentral:rRNA from 1 species